rnacentral:rRNA from 1 species
GACGAACGCUGGCGGCGUGCCUAAUACAUGCAAGUCGAACGCACUCUCGUUUAGAUUGAAGGAGUUUGCUCCUGAUUGAUCAACAUUUGAGUGAGUGGCGGACGGGUGAGUAACACGUGGGUAACCUGCCCUAAAGUGGGGGAUAACAUUUGGAAACAGAUGCUAAUACCGCACAAAACCUAACACCGCAUGGUGUAGGGUUGAAAGAUGGUUUCGGCUAUCACUUUAGGAUGGACCCGCGGUGCAUUAGUUAGUUGGUGAGGUAAAGGCUUACCAAGACCGUGAUGCAUAGCCGACCUGAGAGGGUAAUCGGCCACACUGGAACUGAGACACGGCCCAGACUCCUACGGGAGGCAGCAGUAGGGAAUCUUCCACAAUGGGCGAAAGUCUGAUGGAGCAACGCCGCGUGAGUGAAGAAGGUUUUCGGAUCGUAAAACUCUGUUGUUGGAGAAGAAUGUAUCUGAUAGUAACUGAUCAGGUAGUGACGGUAUCCAAUCAGAAAGCCACGGCUAACUACGUG